UGCAUUUCUGCGGAAUCUUAGUUGGUGGGUUGCCUUGUCAGGUUGAUACCGGUAACGAACGAGACGUCAACCUGCUACAUAGACAGCAUUGCACCUGCAGCGUGCACAUCUUUUAGAAGGACUCCUGGCAUUUAGCGAAUGGAAGUAUGAGGCGAUAACAGGUCUGUGAUG
rnacentral:ncRNA from 1 species